CCUACGGGGGGCAGCAGUGGGGAAUAUUGCACAAUGGGCGCAAGCCUGAUGCAGCCAUGCCGCGUGUGUGAAGAAGGCCUUCGGGUUGUAAAGCACUUUCAGCGGGGAGGAAGGCGGUGAGGUUAAUAACCUCAUCGAUUGACGUUACCCGCAGAAGAAGCACCGGCUAACUCCGUGCCAGCAGCCGCGGUAAUACGGAGGGUGCAAGCGUUAAUCGGAAUUACUGGGCGUAAAGCGCACGCAGGCGGUCUGUCAAGUCGGAUGUGAAAUCCCCGGGCUCAACCUGGGAACUGCAUUCGAAACUGGCAGGCUAGAGUCGUGUAGAGGGGGGUAGAAUUCCAGGUGUAGCGGUGAAAUGCGUAGAGAUCUGGAGGAAUACCGGUGGCGAAGGCGGCCCCCUGGACAAAGACCGACGCUCAGGUGCGAAAGCGUGGGGAGCAAACAGGAUUAGAUACCCUAGUAGUC
rnacentral:rRNA from 1 species